rnacentral:rRNA from 1 species
UACGAAGGGUGCAAGCGUUAAUCGGAAUUACUGGGCGUAAAGGGUGCGUAGGCGGUUGUUUAAGUCUGUCGUGAAAUCCCCGAGCUCAACCUGGGAAUGGCGAUGGAUACUGGGCAGCUAGAGUGUGUCAGAGGAUGGUGGAAUUCCCGGUGUAGCGGUGAAAUGCGUAGAGAUCGGGAGGAACAUCAGUGGCGAAGGCGGCCAUCUGGGACAACACUGACGCUGAAGCACGAAAGCGUGGGGAGCAAACAGG